CAUGUACCUAUAAUAAUAUAAUCGAUUAAUAUUUUGCACUAAAUGUAUGAAAAUUGUAUUAUGACUUUUGUUACAUACAGGGUAACACUCAAUGGGUUUUGUUUCCAUUUGCAAAUCCCACACUUUCACACUGAGAGAAGAAACUUCUGUUUGUUGGAUCUUCUGGUUCUUCAAAGAGCUUACUAUGUUGGUCACAAAGCGCAGCAGAUCUCAUGUCACAGAGUCUAAUUGUUCCUUUGCUACUACUAUAUACCAAGACGUUACAUUCUGCCGGGUGAAAUUCCGCAGCAGUUAUUACUUCUGUUAGUUCCUCCAUAUUAGUUGGCUUAAUGUCUACUAUAUCUGUGUAUCAUUAUUAAGAAAACGAUAUAGUUCAUUAUAAUAAAUUUAUAUCCAAGAUGUAUAAAUAUAAUUUAGAAUUUGUAAACGAAAAAUAAAAUAAAUAUUAAAUGACAUAGAAAAAAGGAUACUAAAA